AGUGAACGCUGGCGGUAGGCCUAACACAUGCAAGUCGAACGGCAGCACAGUAAGAGCUUGCUCUUACGGGUGGCGAGUGGCGGACGGGUGAGGCAUACAUCGGAAUCUACUUUUUCGUGGGGGAUAACGUAGGGAAACUUACGCUAAUACCGCAUACGACCUACGGGUGAAAGCAGGGGAUCUUCGGACCUUGCGCGAUUGAAUGAGCCGAUGUCGGAUUAGCUAGUUGGCGGGGUAAAGGCACACCAAGGCGACGAUACGUAGCUGGUCUGAGAGGAUGAUCAGCCACACUGGAACUGAGACACGGUCCAGACUCCUACGGGAGGCAGCAGUGGGGAAUAUUGGACAAUGGGCGCAAGCCUGAUCCAGCCAUACCGCGUGAGUGAAGAAGGCCUUCGGGUUGUAAAGCCCUUUUGUUGGGAAAGAAAAGCAGCAGGUUAAUACCCCGCUGUUCUGACGGUACCCAAAGAAUAAGCACCGGCUAACUUCGUG
rnacentral:rRNA from 1 species